UCCAGUUUGUAUUCAGGAGACAGACACUAUCUCUACUUUCAAGAUUAGGCUUAAAACUUUCCUUUUUGCUAAAGCAUAUAGUUAGGGCUGGACCAGGUGACCCUGAAUCCUCCCUUAGUUAUGCCUCAAUAGACAUACGCUGUGAGGGGAUUCCCAUGAUGCGUUUGAGUUUUUCAUUUCUAGUCACCUUUCUCACUCACUAUGUGUUAAUAGACCUCUCUGCAUUGAAUCAUAUCUGUUAUUAAUCUCUGUCUCUCUUCCACAGCAUGUCUUUAUCCUGUUUUCCUUCUCUCAGUCCAACCGGUCGCAGCAGAUGGCCCCGCCCCUCCCUGAGCCUGGUUCUGCCGGAGGUUUCUUCCUGUUAAAAGGGAAGUUUAAAUCCCGGAGGACAAUGUCCACAGCAAAGAAUAAACAGGGCAAACAACACAAAUAUAAAGUCUCAUGGGCGCACACCACUAACAGCACAAGGAAGAACGAAAUCCACAUGGAGAAUGUGUUGCCUCAUCACUUUACACUCAACUUAUCACAGACACACUGAGGCACCAGGAGACCAGAACCUAAACCCAGGAUAAAGAGUUUGAGUGAAUGUGGUGUUGAAGGUGUGGAGGUGGAUCAGAGUGUCAGAGGAGACUCUGUAGAAGGACAGAGUGCCAGCAGGACAGUCCA